rnacentral:rRNA from 1 species
GACGAACGCUGGCGGCGUGCUUAACACAUGCAAGUCGAACGGAAAGGCCCUGCUUUUGUGGGGUGCUCGAGUGGCGAACGGGUGAGUAACACGUGAGUAACCUGCCCUUGACUUUGGGAUAACUUCAGGAAACUGGGGCUAAUACCGGAUAGGAGCUCCUGCUGCAUGGUGGGGGUUGGAAAGUUUCGGCGGUUGGGGAUGGACUCGCGGCUUAUCAGCUUGUUGGUGGGGUAGUGGCUUACCAAGGCUUUGACGGGUAGCCGGCCUGAGAGGGUGACCGGGCAAAAUGGGAAUGAGGAAAGGGCCAGGCUUCCACGGGAGGGAAGAGGGGGGAAUAUUGGAGCAAGGGGCGAAAGCCUGAUGCAGAACGGCCGGUUGGGGAAGACCGGCUUUGGGGUGGAAAACGGCUUCGGCCGGUGAGGAGGCGUGGGUAAGGUUAAUGGGAAAGGAGGCACGGGCUAAUAAGGG